GGUAGUGUACCUCAGUGGUAAAGUGCUUGCCUAUUAUGCAUGAAGCCAUGAGGUCCUUGGUUCAAUUGCUAGCACUAUUA
rnacentral:tRNA from 1 species